GUGCUCCGGGCCAGAACCUGGGCUCUAAGGUUCCGCCUGCCGGGAGGAAGGAAAAAAACACAAGGACUGUCUGGAAGCCUUUGAGAAAGCCGAGGUGUGACCAUGGAAAGCUCAGACAAGCUUGGAACAUUUUGGAACGGAAUGUGUAAGGAUAAUGGGAAUCAGACUGACGAGAAUAUGUCAAAGGAUACAUGAGCUAACUUGAAGAUCCCUCUGGCCAAAUUGGAGGAAUUUGAGCAAAAUCCAUGAUAAGAGUCUGAGAGUCCCUUGGACUGCAGGGAGAUCCAACCAGUUGAUCCUAAAGGAAAUCAGUCCUGAAUAUUCCUUGGAAGGACUGAAGCUGAAGCUGAAACUCCAAAUACUUUGGCCACCUAAUGCAAAGAACUGACUCAUUGGAAAAGACCCUGAUGCUAGGAAAGAUUAAAGGCAGGAGGAGAAGGGGAUGACAGAGGAUGAGAUGGUUGGAUGGCAUCAGCAACUUGAUGGACAUGAGUUUGAGCAAGCUCCAGGAGUUGAUAAUGGACAGUGAGGCCUGGUGUGCUGCAGUCCAUGGAGUUGCAAAGAGUCAGACACAACUGAACAGCUGAACUGAACUGAGCUGAAAGUCUGAAUAAUAUUCCAUUUUGUAUAUGUAUGUAUAUGUAUAUAUAUGCAUGUCUUUAUCCAUUCAUCUGUUGAUGGACAUUUAGACUGCUUCCAUGUCUUGGCUAUUGUAAAUAGUGCUGCACUGGGGUGCAUGUAUCUUUUCAAAUUAGACUUUAUAUCUUUUUCAGAUACAUGUCCAGGAGUGGGAUUGAUGGAUUAUGUGGUAAUUCCAUUUUUAGUUUUUUGAGGACUCUCCAAAUGGCUUUAAACAGUGGUUGAACCAACUUAGAUUCCUACCAACAGGGUAAGAGGGUUCCCUUUUCUUCACACCCUCCCCAACAUGUAUUAUUUGUCAUCAUUUUUAUGAUGGCCAUUCUGAGUGAGGUGAUGUAAUAAUUUAUUGUAGUUUUUAUUGACAUUUCUCUAAUAAUUAGUGAUGUGAAGCAGCUUUCCAUGUCAUUG
ensembl:lncRNA